rnacentral:rRNA from 1 species
AGUGAACGCUGGCGGUAGGCCUAACACAUGCAAGUCGAACGGCAGUACAGGAGAGCUUGCUCUCUGGGUGGCGAGUGGCGGACGGGUGAGGAAUACAUCGGAAUCUACCUUGUCGUGGGGGCAUAACGUAGGGAAACUUACGCUAAUACCGCAUACGACCUUCGGGUGAAAGUGGGGACCGGCAAGGCCUCACGCGAUUAGAUGAGCCGAUGUCGGAUUAGCUAGUUGGCGGGGUAAUGGCCCACCAAGGCGCGAUCCGUAGCUGGUCUGAGAGGAUGAUCAGCCACACUGGAACUGAGACACGGUCCAGACUCCUACGGGAGGCAGCAGUGGGGAAUAUUGGACAAUGGGCGCAAGCCUGAUCCAGCCAUACCGCGUGGGGUGAAGAAGGCCUUCGGGUUGUAAAGCCCUUUUGUUGGGAAAGAAAUCCUAUCGAUUAAUACUCGGUGGGGAUGACGGUACCAAAGAAUAAGCACCGGCUAACUUCGUGCCAGCAGCCGCGGUAAUACGAAGGGUGCAAGCGUUACUCGGAAUUACUGGGCGUAAAGCGUGCGUAGGUGGUUGUUUAAGUCUGUUGUGAAAGCCCUGGGCUCAACCUGGGAAUUGCAGUGGAUACUGGGCGACUAGAGUGUGGUAGAGGAUAGUGGAAUUUCCGGUGUAGCAGUGAAAUGCGUAGAGAUCGGAAGGAACAUCUGUGGCGAAGGCGACUAUCUGGGGCCAACACUGACACUGAGGCACGAAAGCGUGGGGGAGCAAACAGGAUUAGAUACCCUGGUAG